rnacentral:tRNA from 1 species
GUUUAGGUAAUUAAAUUAUAAUGCUAGUUUGUGGAAUUAGAUUUAAUGGUUUGAGUCCAUUCUUUUACC